GACGGAGCAGGACAUUAAGAGUUAUUACAACUCCUAAACCCAUGUGAACUUACCGUACGUUGCCUCGGCAGGUCGCGCUCACCCCGUAGCACCCUACCACGUAGGGGCCUACUCGGUGGCCGCGGACUAAGCCUGUCGGUGGCCCAACCAAACUCUGUCAGUGAUUGUGUCUUCUGAACUUGACAACGAAAUACGUUAAAACUUUCAACAACGGAUCUCUUGGUUCUGGCAUCGAUGAAGAACGCAGCGAAAUGCGAUAAGUAAUGUGAAUUGCAGAAUUCAGUGAAUCAUCGAAUCUUUGAACGCACAUUGCGCCCAUUAGUAUUCUAGUGGGCAUGCCUGUUCGAGCGUCAUUUCAACCCUUAAGCCCCUGUUGCUUAGUGUUGGGAGCCUACAGCGAUGUAGCUCCUCAAAGUUAGUGGCGGAGUCGGUUACACACUCUAGGCGCAGUAAACUCUUUAUCUCGUCUACGGUUGUGGCCGGUCCCUUGCCGUAAAACCCCCCAAUUUCUCAAGGUUGACCUCGGAUCAGGUAGGAAUACCCGCUGAACUUAAGCAUAUCAAUAGGCGG
rnacentral:rRNA from 1 species